UUUGUAGUUGCUUAGAGCAUUCGGUGGAUGCCUUGGCACCAGGAGCCGAUGAAGGACGUUGUGGCCUGCGAUAUGCCUCGGGGAGUUGGCGAACGAGCUUUGAUCCGAGGGUGUCCGAAUGGGGGAACCCAGCAAGAGUUGUGUCUUGUUACCAGCAUUUGAAUAUAUAGGGUGUUGGGGGAACGAGGGGAAGUGAAACAUCUUAGUACCCUUAGGAAGAGAUAUUGCGUGAGUAGUGGCGAGCGAAAGCGUAGGAGGCUAAACCAUGCGCGUGUGAUAGACGGCAGUUGUUGCGUGUGUGGGGUUGUGGGGCGUGUUUUUUCAGUGUGCUGCCGCAUGCUGGGUGAGUUAUAAAUGGUUGUUAUAGUUGAACACUUUGGGAAGAGUGACCGUAGAGCGUGAUAGUCGUGUAGGUGUAAUUUCAGCCACUUGCUUGAUGCGUUCCCGAGUAGCACGGGGCCCGUGGAAUCUCGUGUGAAUCUGCCAAGACCACUUGGUAAGCCUAAAUACUACCUGGUGACCGAUAGUGUAUUAGUACCGUGAGGGAAUGGUGAAAAGUACCCCGGGAGGGGAGUGAAAUAGUACCUGAAACCGGAUGCUUACAAUCCGUCGGAGCCUUGAGGGGUGACGGCGUGCCUUUUGAAGAAUGAGCCUGCGAGUUAGUGGUAUGUGGCGAGGUUAACCCGUGUGGGGUAGCCGUAGCGAAAGCGAGUAUGAAUAGUGCGUUUUAGUCGCAUGCUCUAGACCCGAAGCGGGGUGAUCUACCCAUGGCCAGGUUGAAGCACGUGUAAGAGCGUGUGGAGGACCGAACCCACUUCAGUUGAAAAUGGAGGGGAUGAGCUGUGGGUAGGGGUGAAAGGCCAAUCAAACUCCGUGAUAGCUGGUUCUCCCCGAAAUGCAUUUAGGUGCAGCGUUACGUGUUUCUUGCCGGAGGUAGAGCUACUGGAUGGCCGAUGGGCCCUACCGGGUUACUGACGUUAGCCAAACUCCGAAUGCCGGUAUAGUUAGAGCGUAGCAGUGAGACUGCGGGGGAUAAGCUUCGUAGUCGAGAGGGAAACAGCCCAGAUCAUCAGCUAAGGCCCCUAAGCGUGUGCUAAGUGGGAAAGGAUGUGGAGUUGCAUAGACAACCAGGAGGUUGGCUUAGAAGCAGCCAUCCUUGAAAGAGUGCGUAAUAGCUCACUGGUCAAGUGAUUCCGCGCCGAUAAUGUAGCGGGGCUUAAGUACACCGCCGAAGCUGUGGCAUUCACACUUUUUUUGCUAAGCCGCCCUUUGAUGGUUGGUUCAGGUGUGUGGAUGGGUAGGGGAGCGUCGUGUGUGGGGUGAAGUCUCGGAGUGAUCUAGGGGUGGACUGUACACGAGUGAGAAUGCAGGCAUGAGUAGCGAAUGGAGAGUGAGAAACUCUCCCGCCGUAUGACCAAGGGUUCCAGGGCUAGGCUAAUCCGCCCUGGGAUAGUCGGGACCUAAGGCGAGGCCGACAGGCGUAGUCGAUGGACAACCAGUUGAUAUUCUGGUACCGGCGAAACACCGUAAGGAACUGAACUUUAUUGUUUUCGUGAACGCUGGUGGCUUUUCUUUUUUCUUUCGGGGAAAGGGUUGGUUGCUGGUUUUUGUGUUAAUGUUUUUAGUAGGUUAGCGUGUUAACAGGGGUGACGCAGAAAGGUAGCCUCCGCGUGCUGAUGGUUAUGCACGUCUAAGGAUGUGGCCCGUUUCCUAGGUAAAUCCGGGGAACAUGUGGGUGAGGUCUGAUGGUGACACAUUUUUUGUGGAAGUGGGUGAUCCUAUGCUGCCUAGAAAAGCCUCGACGUUAGGUGUUAGCCGCCCGUACCCUAAACCGACACAGGUGGUUGAGUAGAGUAUACUAAGGCGAUCGAGAUAAUCAUGGUUAAGGAACUCGGCAAAAUGCCCCCGUAACUUUGGGAGAAGGGGGGCCUACCUGGUGAAGCCAAUUUUUUCUGGUGGAGCUGGUGUGGGUCGCAGAGACCAGGGGGAAGCGACUGUUUACUAAAAACACAGGUGCGUGCGAAGUCGUAAGACGAUGUAUACGCACUGACGCCUGCCCGGUGCUGGAAGGUUAAGAGGAACGGUCAAACAUUUUUUUGUUGAAGCUGUGAAUUUAAGCCCCAGUAAACGGCGGUGGUAACUAUAACCAUCCUAAGGUAGCGAAAUUCCUUGUCGGGUAAGUUCCGACCUGCACGAAUGGCGUAACGACUUCCCUACUGUCUCGACCAUGAACUCGGCGAAAUUGCAUUACGAGUAAAGAUGCUCGUUACGCGCAGCAGGACGGAAAGACCCCGGGACCUUUACUAUAGCUUGGUAUUGGUGAUCGCUUGUGCUUGUGUAGGAUAGGUGGGAGACUGUGAAGAUGGAACGCUAGUUUUGUUGGAGUCGUUGUUGAAAUACCACUCUGGUUCAAGUGAUUGUCUAACCUCGGUCCGUGAUCCGGACUAGGGACAGUGCCUGGUGGGUAGUUUAACUGGGGCGGUUGCCUCCUAAAAGGUAACGGAGGCGCUCAAAGGUUCCCUCAGCCUGGUUGGCAAUCAGGUGUCGAGUGUAAGUGUAGAAGGGAGCUUGACUGUGAGAGUGACAGCUCGAGCAGGUGCGAAAGCAGGAACUAGUGAUCCGGCCGUGGUUCGUGGAAACGCGGUCGCUCAACGGAUAAAAGGUACCCCGGGGAUAACAGGCUGAUCUUGCCCAAGAGUCCAUAUCGACGGCAUGGUUUGGCACCUCGAUGUCGGCUCGUCGCAUCCUGGGGCUGGAGUAGGUCCCAAGGGUUGGGCUGUUCGCCCAUUAAAGCGGUACGCGAGCUGGGUUUAGAACGUCGUGAGACAGUUCGGUCCCUAUCCGCUGUGCGCGUUGGAAACUUGAGAAGGCCUGUCCCUAGUACGAGAGGACCGGGACGGACGAACCUCUGGUGUGCCAGUUGUACCGCCAGGUGCAUGGCUGGUUGGCUACGUUCGGGAGGGAUAACCGCUGAAAGCAUCUAAGCGGGAAGCCUGCUUCAAGAUUAGGUUUCGUUUGAGGUCCCCACUAGACUAGUGGGUUGAUAGGCUGGAUGUGGAAGAGCAGUAAUGUUUUUUAGAGCUGACCAGUACUAAUUGACCGAUAACUACAAAAA
rnacentral:rRNA from 1 species